ACGGCUCAGUAACACGUGGCUAACCUGCCCUUGGGACGAGAAUACCCCCGGGAAACUGGGGCUAAUUCUCGAUAGGUGAAGAUCUCUGGAAUGAGUUUUCGCUUAAAAGACGUUGGGGUUAUGCUCUCCAGCGUCGCCCAAGGAUGGGGCCGCGACAGAUCAGGUUGUUGGUGAGGUAAUGGCUCACCAAGCCUUUUACCGGUGCGGGCCGUGGGAGCGGGAGCCCGGAGAUGGGCACUGAGACAAGGGCCCAGGCCCUACGGGGCGCAGCAGUCGCGAAAACUUUGCAAUAAGCGAAAGCUUGACAGGGCUAUCCCGAGUGCCAUCCGCUGAGGAAGGCUUUUACCCAGUCUAGAACGCUGGGGGAAUAAGGAGAGGGCAAGUCUGGUGUCAGCCGCCGCGGUAAUACCAGCUCUCCGAGUGGUGUGGAUGUUUAUUGGGCCUAAAGCAUCCGUAGCUGGCUAGGCUAGUCCCCUGUUAAAUCCACCGAAUUAAUCGUUGGAUUGCGGGGGAUACUGCUUGGCUAGGGGACGAGAGGGGCAGACGGUAUUUCCGGGGUAGGGGUGAAAUCCUAUAAUCCCGGGAAGACCACCAGUGGCGAAGGCUGUCUGCUAGAACGCGCCCGACGGUGAGGGAUGAAAGCUGGGGGAGCGAACCGGAUUAGAUACCCGGGUAGUCCCCAGCUGUAAACGAUGCAGACUAGGUGUUUGGACGGCCACGUGCCGUUCUAGUGCCGCAGGGAAGCUGUUAAGUCUGCCGCCUGGGGAGUACGAUCGCNAGAUUGAAACUUAAAGGAAUUGGCGGGGGAACACCCACAAGGGGUGAAGCUUGCGGUUUAAUUGGAGUCAACGCCGGA
rnacentral:rRNA from 1 species